rnacentral:rRNA from 1 species
UACGAAGGGGCUAGCGUUGUUCGGAAUUACUGGGCGUAAAGCGCACGUAGGCGGAUACUUAAGUCAGGGGUGAAAUCCCGGGGCUCAACCCCGGAACUGCCUUUGAUACUGGGUAUCUCGAGUCCGGAAGAGGUGAGUGGAAUUCCGAGUGUAGAGGUGAAAUUCGUAGAUAUUCGGAGGAACACCAGUGGCGAAGGCGGCUCACUGGUCCGGUACUGACGCUGAGGUGCGAAAGCGUGGGGAGCAAACAGG